GAUGAACGCUGGCGGCGUGCCUAAUACAUGCAAGUCGAGCGAACGGACGAGAAGCUUGCUUCUCUGAUGUUAGCGGCGGACGGGUGAGUAACACGUGGAUAACCUACCUAUAAGACUGGGAUAACUUCGGGAAACCGGAGCUAAUACCGGAUAAUAUUUUGAACCGCAUGGUUCAAAAGUGAAAGACGGUCUUGCUGUCACUUAUAGAUGGAUCCGCGCUGCAUUAGCUAGUUGGUAAGGUAACGGCUUACCAAGGCAACGAUGCAUAGCCGACCUGAGAGGGUGAUCGGCCACACUGGAACUGAGACACGGUCCAGACUCCUACGGGAGGCAGCAGUAGGGAAUCUUCCGCAAUGGGCGAAAGCCUGACGGAGCAACGCCGCGUGAGUGAUGAAGGUCUUCGGAUCGUAAAACUCUGUUAUUAGGGAAGAACAUAUGUGUAAGUAACUGUGCACAUCUUGACGGUACCUAAUCAGAAAGCCACGGCUAACUACGUGCCAGCAGCCGCGGUAAUACGUAGGUGGCAAGCGUUAUCCGGAAUUAUUGGGCGUAAAGCGCGCGUAGGCGGUUUUUUAAGUCUGAUGUGAAAGCCCACGGCUCAACCGUGGAGGGUCAUUGGAAACUGGAAAACUUGAGUGCAGAAGAGGAAAGUGGAAUUCCAUGGGAGGCGGUGAAAUGCGCAGAGAUAUGGAGGAACACCAGGGCGAAAGGCGACUUUUUGGUCUGUAACUGACGCUGAUGGCGAAAAGCGUGGGGAUCAAACAGGAUUAGAUACCCUGGUAGUCCACGCCGUAAACGAUGAGUGCUAAGUGUUAGGGGGUUUCCGCCCCUUAGUGCUGCAGCUAACGCAUUAAGCACUCCGCCUGGGGAGUACGACCGCAAGGUUGAAACUCAAAGGAAUUGACGGGGACCCGCACAAGCGGUGGAGCAUGUGGUUUAAUUCGAAGCAACGCGAAGAACCUUACCAAAUCUUGACAUCCUUUGACAACUCUAGAGAUAGAGCCUUCCCCUUCGGGGGACAAAGUGACAGGUGGUGCAUGGUUGUCGUCAGCUCGUGUCGUGAGAUGUUGGGUUAAGUCCCGCAACGAGCGCAACCCUUAAGCUUAGUUGCCAUCAUUAAGUUGGGCACUCUAAGUUGACUGCCGGUGACAAACCGGAGGAAGGUGGGGAUGACGUCAAAUCAUCAUGCCCCUUAUGAUUUGGGCUACACACGUGCUACAAUGGACAAUACAAAGGGCAGCGAAACCGCGAGGUCAAGCAAAUCCCAUAAAGUUGUUCUCAGUUCGGAUUGUAGUCUGCAACUCGACUACAUGAAGCUGGAAUCGCUAGUAAUCGUAGAUCAGCAUGCUACGGUGAAUACGUUCCCGGGUCU
rnacentral:rRNA from 1 species